GAUGAACGCUGGCGGCGUGCCUAAUACAUGCAAGUCGAGCGAACAGACGAGGAGCUUGCUCCUCUGACGUUAGCGGCGGACGGGUGAGUAACACGUGGAUAACCUACCUAUAAGACUGGGAUAACUUCGGGAAACCGGAGCUAAUACCGGAUAAUAUAUUGAACCGCAUGGUUCAAUAGUGAAAGACGGUUUUGCUGUCACUUAUAGAUGGAUCCGCGCCGCAUUAGCUAGUUGGUAAGGUAACGGCUUACCAAGGCAACGAUGCGUAGCCGACCUGAGAGGGUGAUAGGCCACACUGGAACUGAGACACGGUCCAGACUCCUACGGGAGGCAGCAGUAGGGAAUCUUCCGCAAUGGGCGAAAGCCUGACGGAGCAACGCCGAGUGAGUGAUGAAGGUCUUCGGAUCGUAAAACUCUGUUAUUAGGGAAGAACAAAUGUGUAAGUAAAUAUGCACGUCUUGACGGUACCUAAUCAGAAAGCCACGGCUAACUACGUG
rnacentral:rRNA from 1 species